AGAGUUUGAUCCUGGCUCAGAACGAACGCUGGCGGCAUGCCUAACACAUGCAAGUCGAACGCACUCUUCGGAGUGAGUGGCGCACGGGUGAGUAACGCGUGGGAACCUGCCCCGGGGUGGGGGAUAACCGAUGGAACGUCGGCUAAUACCGCAUACGACCUGUGGGUGAAAGAUUUAUCGCCCUGGGAGGGGCCCGCGUC
rnacentral:rRNA from 1 species